rnacentral:ncRNA from 1 species
GCCCCACGGGAUUAAAAGGGAAUCAGGUGAAAUUCCUGGACAGUACCCGCUGCUGUGAGUCCCCAUGAUGACAUCUACAUCGUUUUGCUACAACGCCACUGAGACAAUCGUGCCCAAUAGAACGGCCACAUCAUCGCUCGGGAAGGCGCAAACACGAUGGGGGACAAGUCAGAAGACCUGCCUGCUGCACA